rnacentral:sRNA from 1 species
GCCAGGUACAGUGGUGUACACCUGUAAUUCUAGCGGCUCAGGAGGCUGAGGCAGGAGGAUCAUGGGUUCAAAGCCAGCCUCGGCAUCUUAACAAGGCCCUAAGCAACUCAGUGAGACCCUGUCUCUA